rnacentral:rRNA from 1 species
AGCAGCCGCCGCGGGAAUACGGAAGGUCCAGGCGUUAUCCGGAUUUAUUGGGUUUAAAGGGAGCGUAGGCUGGAGAUUAAGUGUGUUGUGAAAUGUAGACGCUCAACGUCUGACUUGCAGCGCAUACUGGUUUCCUUGAGUACGCACAACGUUGGCGGAAUUCGUCGUGUAGCGGUGAAAUGCUUAGAUAUGACGAAGAACUCCGAUUGCGAAGGCAGCUGACGGGAGCGCAACUGACGCUUAAGCUCGAAGGUGCGGGUAUCAAACAGGAUUAGAUACCCGCGUAGUCCCUGUCUCUUAUAC